GUAGCUAUGCAUUGAUUACUACAGGACAGCCAGCGUUUUCAUUUAUCAUUAUUAAUCACAUGUCAACUGAUUUCAACUUACUUAUUCAGAUUAUGGUUUAAAUCAAAUAAUUUGUAACUGUUAAUUCUACUUGAAAGAGCUAUAAUAGUAUAUGAUGUUAAUAAACAGUUUGGUGAAAAACUGUGUGAAUGAUAUAAGGCUUUCAAAU
rnacentral:lncRNA from 1 species